ACAAGGUCUCCGUUGGUGAACCAGCGGAGGGAUCAUUACCGAGUUUACAACUCCCAAACCCCUGUGAACAUACCACUUGUUGCCUCGGCGGAUCAGCCCGCUCCCGGUAAAACGGGACGGCCCGCCAGAGGACCCCUAAACUCUGUUUCUAUAUGUAACUUCUGAGUAAAACCAUAAAUAAAUCAAAACUUUCAACAACGGAUCUCUUGGUUCUGGCAUCGAUGAAGAACGCAGCAAAAUGCGAUAAGUAAUGUGAAUUGCAGAAUUCAGUGAAUCAUCGAAUCUUUGAACGCACAUUGCGCCCGCCAGUAUUCUGGCGGGCAUGCCUGUUCGAGCGUCAUUUCAACCCUCAAGCACAGCUUGGUGUUGGGACUCGCGUUAAUUCGCGUUCCUCAAAUUGAUUGGCGGUCACGUCGAGCUUCCAUAGCGUAGUAGUAAAACCCUCGUUACUGGUAAUCGUCGCGGCCACGCCGUUAAACCCCAACUUCUGAAUGUGACCUCGAUCAGUAGAUCCCGUU
rnacentral:rRNA from 1 species